rnacentral:rRNA from 1 species
GUUGUAUGGUUAAGUGACUAAGCGUACACGGUGGAUGCCUUGGCAGUCAGAGGCGAUGAAAGACGUAGUAACUUGCGAUAAGCCCAGAUUAGGUAGUAACAACCAUUUGAGUCUGGGAUUUCUGAAUGGGGAAACCCACGUGCAUAAGCACGUAUCCUUACCUGAAUACAUAGGGUAAGGAGGCGAACCGGGGGAACUGAAACAUCUAAGUACCCCGAGGAAAAGAAAUCAACCGAGAUUCCGAAAGUAGCGGCGAGCGAAAUUGGACUAGCCCUUAAGCUUUACACGCGUUAGACGAACGGUCUGGAAAGUCCGACGAUACAGGGUGAUAGUCCCGUAGUUGACGACGUGUGUUCAGUGAAAUCGAGUAGGGCGGGACACGUGAUAUCCUGUCUGAAUAUGGGGGGACCAUCCUCCAAGGCUAAAUACUACUGACUGACCGAUAGUGAACCAGUACCGUGAGGGAAAGGCGAAAAGAACCCCUGUGAGGGGAGUGAAAUAGAACCUGAAACCGUGUACGUACAAGCAGUAGGAGCAGGCUUUGUCCUGUGACUGCGUACCUUUUGUAUAAUGGGUCAGCGACUUAUAUUCAGUGGCAAGGUUAACCAUCUAGGGGAGCCGUAGGGAAACCGAGUCUUAACUGGGCGUUCAGUCUCUGGAUAUAGACCCGAAACCAGGUGAUCUAGCCAUGGGCAGGUUGAAGGUUGAGUAACAUCAACUGGAGGACCGAACCGACUAAUGUUGAAAAAUUAGCGGAUGACUUGUGGCUAGGGGUGAAAGGCCAAUCAAACCUGGAGAUAGCUGGUUCUCCCCGAAAGCUAUUUAGGUAGCGCCUCGGACGAAUACUACUGGGGGUAGAGCACUGUUAAGGCUAGGGGGUCAUCCCGACUUACCAACCCUUUGCAAACUCCGAAUACCAGUAAGUACUAUCCGGGAGACACACGGCGGGUGCUAACGUCCGUCGUGGAGAGGGAAACAACCCAGACCGCCAGCUAAGGUCCCAAAUUACUACUAAGUGGGAAACGAUGUGGGAAGGCUCAGACAGCCAGGAUGUUGGCUUAGAAGCAGCCAUCAUUUAAAGAAAGCGUAAUAGCUCACUGGUCGAGUCGGCCUGCGCGGAAGAUGUAACGGGGCUAAGUAGUAAACCGAAGCUGCGGCAAUAUACUUUUGUAUAUUGGGUAGGGGAGCGUUCUGUAAGCGGUUGAAGGUGUGUGGUAACGCAUGCUGGACGUAUCAGAAGUGCGAAUGCUGACAUGAGUAACGAUAAAGGGGGUGAAAAACCUCCUCGCCGGAAGACCAAGGGUUCCUGUCCAACGUUAAUCGGGGCAGGGUAAGUCGACCCCUAAGGCGAGGCCGAAAGGCGUAGUCGAUGGGAAACGGGUUAAUAUUCCCGUACUUCUUACAAUUGCGAUGGGGGGGACGGAGAAGGCUAGGUGGGCCUGGCGACGGUUGUCCAGGUUCAAGUGCGUAGGCUUGAGAGUUAGGUAAAUCCGGCUCUCUUUAAGGCUGAGACACGACGUCGAGCAUCUACGGAUGUGAAGUCAUUGAUGCCAUGCUUCCAGGAAAAGCCUCUAAGCUUCAGAUUGUAAGGAAUCGUACCCCAAACCGACACAGGUGGUCGGGUAGAGAAUACCAAGGCGCUUGAGAGAACUCGGGUGAAGGAACUAGGCAAAAUGGUACCGUAACUUCGGGAGAAGGUACGCUCUCGACGGUGAAGUCCCUUGCGGAUGGAGCUAUUGAGAGUCGCAGAUACCAGGUGGCUGCAACUGUUUAUUAAAAACACAGCACUGUGCAAAAUCGUAAGAUGACGUAUACGGUGUGACGCCUGCCCGGUGCCGGAAGGUUAAUUGAUGGGGUUAGACUUCGGUCGAAGCUCUUGAUCGAAGCCCCGGUAAACGGCGGCCGUAACUAUAACGGUCCUAAGGUAGCGAAAUUCCUUGUCGGGUAAGUUCCGACCUGCACGAAUGGCGUAAUGAUGGCCACGCUGUCUCCACCCGAGACUCAGUGAAAUUGAAAUCGCUGUGAAGAUGCAGUGUACCCGCGGCUAGACGGAAAGACCCCGUGAACCUUUACUACAGCUUGGCACUGAACAUUGACCCUACAUGUGUAGGAUAGGUGGGAGGCUUUGAAGCACGUACGCCAGUAUGUGUGGAGCCGUCCUUGAAAUACCACCCUUGUAGUGUUGAUGUUCUAACGUCGACCCCUAAUCGGGGUUGCGGACAGUGCCUGGUGGGUAGUUUGACUGGGGCGGUCUCCUCCCAAAGAGUAACGGAGGAGCACGAAGGUGGGCUAAUCACGGUUGGACAUCGUGAGGUUAGUGCAAUGGCAUAAGCCCGCUUGACUGCGAGAAUGACAAUUCGAGCAGGUGCGAAAGCAGGUCAUAGUGAUCCGGUGGUUCUGAAUGGAAGGGCCAUCGCUCAACGGAUAAAAGGUACUCCGGGGAUAACAGGCUGAUACCGCCCAAGAGUUCAUAUCGACGGCGGUGUUUGGCACCUCGAUGUCGGCUCAUCACAUCCUGGGGCUGAAGUCGGUCCCAAGGGUAUGGCUGUUCGCCAUUUAAAGUGGUACGCGAGCUGGGUUUAGAACGUCGUGAGACAGUUCGGUCCCUAUCUGCCGUGGGCGUUGGAAGAUUGAAGGGGGCUGCUCCUAGUACGAGAGGACCGGAGUGGACGAACCUCUGGUGUUCGGGUUGUGUCGCCAGACGCAUUGCCCGGUAGCUAAGUUCGGAAUCGAUAACCGCUGAAAGCAUCUAAGCGGGAAGCGAGCCCUGAGAUGAGUCUUCCCUGAUACUUUAAGUAUCCUAAAGGGUUGUCGGAGACUACGACGUUGAUAGGUCAGGUGUGUAAGUGCUGUGAGGCAUUGAGCUAACUGAUACUAAUUGCCCGUGAGGCUUAACCAUACAACACCCAAGGGGUUU